AGUCGCCGGUGAAGUUGACCAACUCCAGGAACUGCGUCUGGAUGACUCCCGCUUCCAGCACUACUUUAGGCUAACCAGUAGCCAGUUUUUAUAACCUGUUUGGUUGGAUCGGAGCCAGGAUCUCUCGGUUGGACACCACCUACAGGCGUUCAAUCUCAGCUGUGGAACACCUAUCUGUCUCUGCAUAUCAAUCCCCCCCUAUGGUUAAGAGUGAGAAGAGACGGCUCCUUCUGUUUCUUCUGUCUCCAUUAGCUCCCUGGUGGAUCCGCCUGAUGUGAAGUGACUGCAGCUGUAAUCUCUCACUAAGUUUGUAUAUUCUUCCACUUGGCAUGAUUUAACAACUUCUCAUACUCUUUACUGAAGACUUUUUUUCGCAGUCGAGCAGUGGUGCAGUGGAAUCAGACAAUGAAUGUUGCAGUAUUGCGGCCUUGCCCGCGCAGACUCAGUAAUGUAGUCGACGGUGCACAAAGCGCUGCUCCCUUUUUCAAACUGCUUAUCCAGGCUGAAUCCAGGUGGGAAAUCAUUCUUUUACAGUUAGUUUCCUUUCAUAAGCGCUGGUUGGGGCUUAGCUCUGCUGUGUUUGUACUAGCACACACACACAAAAUCACUUUUCAGAAUCGUCGAAAGAACAAAUAUGGUAGUGACACCAAGGCUGGGGUUGGCUUUCCAGAUAGAGUUUCCUGUUAUCAAUAUUGCUUUGAUGGCAAAAAAAAAAAAAUCUGCACUUGGUGGUCGUGUGCCCAAUGUGCAUAAAUACAAUCAUCCACCUUCACCGGUUGAGUAAUGUUUGGCUCUUUUCUGUGAGAAUCAAAAUAAGUCCUCUUGACAUAAAGAGCAGCAUGCAAUACCUCACGGAGAGUGAUUCUGAAAAGGAUGGAGGUGACUCGCUUUCUUCUUGGAUUGUUACAGUAUAACAAGCUUGUCUCAACAAUGUAUUCCAAGGCAAUUGUUGCAGGCGACACACAGAUAUCACGCAGUGCCGGAGUUCCUCUGAGGCUACGUUGGGGUGUGACAAUCACAGGGGGAUUGGCAAACUGUUGUACUGGGUCCCCUGACUCAGAGAGCAGUCAAUUAAAACAAAAACAAAAAGUCAACGGAGUGAGAUGUAGAGUUUUGUUGUAAAUCAUUAUUCCUUAUACUGGUAAGUUAGGGUCCUCUCAUCCUGAGGAACUACAUGCCUUAUUUGCAGCUUGACGACAGAUUACUGGUAUGUAUUCCUUGCCUUUUUUUUUAAGUUGCCGUGUCCUUUUUGUUUUUUUAAUAAUCAGUUGUUUCAUUUGAAUAAAGUAUUUGUAGCUAAAAUUCAUUUUGACAGUUUGAAAAAGGAAAAAAAGAAAGCCCGAGGAUCCCUUUUUUUGUAGCAGAACUAUUUGCAAAUAUCUGUGCGAAAAUCUUUUGAAUAUGUUUAUUCAGAUUCACAAAUCUGUAGAGUAGUCUAAAUGCCUAGUAAGUAGUAGUUAAAUUAAAUUGAUACAAAAAUCUGCCAGUGAGUAUUUGGAAUCAGCGUCUGCGUCUGCAGACCCAAAUGCAUACCACAGGAGCCAGAAUAGGAAGAGAAUUCAUUGGUUGCGCCAAAA
ensembl:lncRNA